GAGAAGGUGGAUAUGUUAAUAGCAUAUUCAUUUUGACGUUUAGCUGCAGAAGAAGCACCGGCUAACUCCGUGCCAGCAGCCGCGGUAAUACGGAGGGUGCGAGCGUUAAUCGGAAUUACUGGGCGUAAAGCGCAUGCAGUGGUUUGUUAAGUCAGAUGUGAAAGCCCGGGGCUCAACCUCGGAAUUGCAUUUGAAACUGGCAAACUAGAGUACUGUAGAGGGGGUAGAAUUUCAGGUGUAGCGGUGAAAUGCGUAGAGAUCUGAAGGAAUACCGGUGGCGAAGGCGGCCCCCUGGACAGAUACUGACACUCAGAUGCGAAAGCGUGGGGAGCAAACAGGAUUACCUACCCUGGUAG
rnacentral:rRNA from 1 species